GCAGAUUUCGGCCAAUAGCCUGCGGUUUUGUAAACCGAAGGUCGCGGGUUCGAAUCCUGCAACCGGCACCA
rnacentral:tRNA from 1 species